UCAUCCACCAUUUUUCUCUUUUGCUCCUCUUCGGCCAUUCCUACCUUCUCUUUUGCCUUCUGACCAACUUCCCCAGCUGCCUUUGCAACCUUGUUGAAUGCACCAGUCACCCAAGAAGCCCCAGCAAAAACAUACCGAUUGCUCAUAAUAGCAGAUCCUGCAUUACUGACUUUUUGUUCAGCUGCUGCAAAUGCUGAUUUAGUUUUCUCUGAA
rnacentral:misc_RNA from 1 species